AAGUCGUAACAAGGUUUCCGUAGGUGAACCUGCGGAAGGAUCAUUAAUGCAAAGAUACGCCAUUCCCUUUGCCGGGAACGGCUAUCGAUAUACGCUCACCAAACGCUCGGGCUUCUUUUUGUUGUUCACAAGCGACAAGAAAAGCUCGACGUCACAACAACCUGAGGGCUGAGAACGAGUCUUUCCUUUGGGAGAAUUGUUCUCUAUUCCUCCUUUUUAUACCAUCAUUACCCUUCUUCUUUGAAACUCGUAGACUGAUAUGAAAAAAUGUUGUGACUACAUUUCACACACACACAAAAAAAAAUGUAAAGAACAACUCUUAGCAAUGGAUAUCUAGGCUCUC
rnacentral:misc_RNA from 1 species